UCCGUAUCUUUCCCUUUCUAUCAAUAUCUCUCUCUUUGAAGAAGCACUCCCUCAAUCUCUCUCUCCAUAAGCUAAUAUCUCUGGGUUUAUAUACUUCUUCAUCUUAAGGAUGGAACAAGAGAAAGCUCCAAGGAAGACACCAAACCCAGCCUAUGGUCGUUUGUUCACAUAAACAUAACAAGAGGAAGUUGGAAAUAUGAGUAUCAAAGAGAGGUAACUGACAAAAAGACUAUUUCAAUUAAAUGGAAUCAUGCAUGGUGAUCUAAGAGGCGCUACCAUCAGCUUCGGAAGGAAGAUAGGAACACAAGGCUGUUUCGAAUACGGUACUUGCUUGAAUAAUAUGGACAAGCUAAAAGAAAGAAACUACUGAUGUUCUGAAGAUGCAUCUGCGAUAUACACACGAGAAUGCAAAUACAGAUUUGAAGAUGCAUCUGUGAUAUACACACGAGGGCGCAAAUGUCUGCACCUUUUAACUUUUAGACUAACUUACAAGAUGUAUAUAACUUACUACAUAGCAUUUGGUGUUAAUUAACAAAGUUGACCACUUAUCCUAAAUUCUGUUGUUCAAGUGUUGGUCGUUGGGCCUGUGCUCUGCACGGGCAGCCAGCAUCUAGUAAUACUAAUAAUUGGCACCUUGAAGGUUU